GGGAAAACUUGCUGCUGAAUUAUUUUGUGAAAGAUGUUCCUCAUGUUCUUCAUGUGGAUGGCUGCAGCUGUGAGUCUCAUCAGCACCACACAUCCCCUCUGAUCCUUGUACUGGGCUGACUGUAGAUCAGCAAGUGUGUUUUCCUGAAUGUAUCAUUGCAGCAUGAAAAUAGCUAGCCUGGCCUCAUAAACUGAGGCUGAACAGUAGGAAGUUUGCCAUAAUGAAUAACUCAAUACUCUGCUGUGGGGUCACACAGGCUGGUGAAGUUUUGCAAAGCUGAAGACUGUGAAGCAUCUGGAAUCAAGAAAAUGAGGAAAAGGGUUUUCUGUCACCCUGAGAAAGAUGCUUCGAUCUGAAGGUGUCAAAUCCUAGGCUUCAUCUCUGCACAGGGAUGUCACAAUGAAGAGGCCAUGAGGUACAGUCAAGUGUUUUAGUAUUGCUCUUAUGGGAACCAUGUGAGUACCUACAAUAGCUACUCCCCUUUCCCCACAACAGACCCCACUCUGAGGAAGGUGGUUUCGUAUCUGAAUAGAUGAGUUGUAUUUUGUCACUCUGGGUAGGCCCCAAGGCCAAUAUUUAGUGGGCAACAGGGUAUCAGGUGUCCACAAAGAACCAAAUGUAAAAUGCUGAGCCAUACUGCUAACGUGGAGAAAGAUGCAGUGCUUCCAUCUUGUGACAUACGAUGUGUACUCAUUACUUGUCUUCAUCCUUCUUAGCACAGCCUCAGGACACCAGGAUCCUAAGCCAUGACUAGGUUUCAGAGGUGCUGAAGUAAUGCAAGCACCACUGCUACCAAUAACUAGCUUGAUUUUGUUUUAAUAACAGUCUUCUCUGCAAAACCACAAACCCAAGUUAAUUGCACAAAUCAGGGGAAUAUGGAAUUAUUACAGUAAUUAGACCAGGACAGCAGCCUUGGCUCAGAAAAACAGCUUUGCAUACAGCUGUGCUGGAGAAAGUGCAGUCCAUCUCAUUAGGACCAAAUAUUAAGAUCACAGCCAGCUCCAGAACUGGCUUUUAAAAACAUAAGUUACUGGCUCCUGUUGUCUAAAGAGCUGCACUGCCAGUGCUUGAUAUUAUUUCCUUGUCUCUUGCCCAACUGAGCUGAGACCAGCAACUCCAAGCUAAUUGUGACUCUGCCCCCCGCAUCUGCCCUGGGAAGUCAGAAGUUGAAAACCUCCUUCCAUGCUCUUGAGAGAAUGUCCCGUCUAAUGUGUGCUUGCACGCUGAUUUAUUUGGAUAAUCAUAGGUAAAGGAAAAUGUAUGCAUACCUGCCAAAUAAAAUAGUUUGGGGAUAGUAGUUAUGUUUUUAUUAAUGGCACCUUUGAGUUCUUGAAAUCUGUGACUAAUGGGUUUCUUAUGUCCCAGUAAUAUUUGUUAGCUCUAUCUGCAGAAGUUGAUUUUCCAGUUUUUCUCAUUCAACUCUUAGGAAUGAGAAAAUGGACGAGCUGUCAGUGACCUGACAGCUUUGCUCUGCCA